CAUUGGCCUAGUUCGAGGUCAGACUACCGGGGGCGCUGUACGCUUCGUGUUCGCUCCUCCUUCCACCGCCUACGUUCAAGUCGAAUUGAACGUUGACUGUCGUCGGACAGGCCUCGUCAACGGAGCGAAAGCCUGGCGUGCACGCGUCGUCGUUACGGAAAAUGACGUUCAUCGGCCCACGCGACUACUCGGUGUAUUGUCCGCGGUCCAAGCACGUCCGCGUUUGACGUGUUAUGUGAAUCUCCUGCACUUGGGACACGGCUGUUCGUGCUAGCAUGAGUAUUUCUCAGGAAAGCGCAGCCACAAUCGUGUGCAAGGAGAUCUUCGACGGCACCUCGCAUCCGUCAGACGAAGAGGUACUCGAAUAUGCGAGGCGCUUGGGAAUCGAUCCAGAAACAGAACCACACCUCCUGAAUUUGGCUCGGGAGGGCCUGAUGGCGGCCCUCCCGAAGGGAUGGUUACCAUGCUUCCAUGAAACCAGCGGCGCUUGGUAUUACUACCAAGCUUCCACCGGAAUCACCACCUGGCAACAUCCUCUGGACGCAGUCUACAAGGAGAUGGUGGAGCAGGCUAGGGCUGGCAACGCUAAACCUGAUAACACCAGGCAAAUCAGCGUUGAAGAGGACUCGAAAACAACAGCGAAGGAUUUCGAGUCUCACGAGGAAGCAACUCUGCCCAAGGAAUCCUCUCCGUCGAAGGAAUCUGUAAAACAACCUAUCAAAACCAUUCCCCCACCUACCAGGAUCCCUACGAAGUUGACACCUCUGAAAAAAUUGGAUAAAAUUGAUGGUGCAAGGAAGAAGGACGCUAUGGGCCAAGACAAACAGCUGUAUAAACGAGAAGACUCGAAAAUAGAUAAUCCUCUGGCAACUAACAGAGCCGCCAGGGAUUACACCAACCUCAAAUUUCAAGAUCCGAGGUUCUACGAGUGCCCCAAGCUUCUAGAAACAAUCGCAUCAACCGCAACCACCAAUACGUCCGCGGUUACUACGCCAAAGCAGGAGAUAGAUUUAAAGGAAGUGCUAAAGAGAUCGGAAUCUCUUAGUCCGAGGCAUGAGAAAGACUGGGAACAGUUGUCCAGCAAAUUUAGUUCCGAAGAGAACAUUAUAGAUAUCGAUAAACUCAGCAUCACCACGCUAGCCAGGUCAGAGAAGUCUGAAAAGUUUGAUAAGGAGAAACACCCGAGUCAGUUUGGUCAACAAAAGGAACUCACUCUAAGUGGCGGAGGGACUAUGUUUCUGAAGAGCAACAGAAGCAGGGACACUACACCUAGUCACGAAGGCGCUAAACUUGAUGAUUUCAGGACCAUGCUGAUCCCGGACGAGAGCAGCAACGUCGGUGGAGACAAAUUGAAAUCGAUUCUCAGAGAAAAACAAUCCGAGGAUGACGACAGACCAGUGGACGAAGAGCGGAAAAGUGUACGCUUCGACAUAGAAAAAGAAUUGGACAUCAAGUUCACCUAUUAUUCGGAGUCCGAGUCUGAGGAGCAGGAUGUUCAGAUGCUCGCGAUGUUCUCUAACCGAGAUACCGAUUGGAUUCCUUCGUCGCAAAAGACAAAUUGCCAAAGAUUCAACGAGGAAACCAAAGAGGAGUCCGAAGACAAAAUCGACGAGGUUAUCAGGAAGAGUUCGUCGUUAGAGAAAAUCGAAGGAUCGAAGAAAAAUGGGAAAGUCGUGGGCAAGAGGUUCGUCGUUCGGAACGUUUCCGAGAACGAGCAUCGCAAAAGAUUUGUUCCGCAGAACGUUUCCGACAAGGAGCACCGUAUGCAGAUGACAAGGGAUAGUUUAUCCGGAGAAAGUUUGUCGAGGGAGAGCAGCCUGGAUUACACGUACACCAAUAAAUUUAACAAAAUCAAAAACAUCGAUCUGGUCUCGAAAAGCGAGACUACUGAUUACAGCGACUCCGAAACGCGCCGAAAGAGCAAAUCGAAGGUAGAUUUCUUACGAAACGAACAGACCGACGACGAUGAUACCUCGGACGUUCCUAGGGUCUAUCGCGAACUCGAUCUCGUAGAGAAGCAACGCAACGAGGUUGCUGGGAAACAGGAACAGGGUAGGAACUCGAAAAGCGAAACCGAUUACAGUGACAUCGACGCGCGCCGGAAGAACAAAUCAAAAGUAGAUUUUUCGCGAAACGAACAGACCGAUGACGAUGAUACCUCAGACUUUCCUAAGCUUUAUCGUGAUGCUGGCGGAAAACAGGAGCAGGACAAGAAUCUGGAGGAAACGAAACUAAGGUUGAGUCAAGAACACGAAAAGGACAUCGAAGCCUUGCAAAAACAGUACAAAGAUAAAUUAGAGCAAACGAAGAAAGAGUUGGAGGAAAAUUUUCUGGAGCAGAAGAAGCAGCUAGAGAAAAACAUGAACGACAAGCUGGAGGAAUCGAGACGGAAAAUGGUUGAAAAGGAGGAACGGGAGAUUCAGAAAUUAAUUGCCGAAAUGGAUGAGGCUAAACUGGAGAACUUGAAGAAGGUAAAGGCCGAAUUGGAAAUCUGCUACGAAAAGGAGAGACAGGAAAUUUUGGCGAAUCUGAAGACGGAACUCGACGAGAGAAAAGGUGAGCUGCUGGAACUACGGAACCAAGAAAUAGGAAAAUUGGAGAACGAACACGAACGUGAUCUAGACGAGGAGAAACUCGCGAAACUUAGCGAGAUCAAACUGACGAAACAACACUCCGCGAGAAUUAAAGCUAUGAAGAAGGAAUUGGACAAGAAGUUUGACGAAUUACGCUCUCAGGUACGGGAGCAGCAGAGGGAAAAUAUUUCGAAAAUCACGGAGGAGCACGAGCAACGUCUGGUUGAAAUUGUACGCGAUUUUAGAAUCAACGAGGAUCGCACUCGCAAGAUGUAUAAGCAACAUUUGGAGGAGAUUCGUGCCGAUUUUUCACGCGAAGUAGAAAAAGAAGCGAGGAAACAGACAGGGAGAGCUAUUCACCAAGAGAGCAUCGAAUUCGAGAAAAUGCGUUGCGAAAAGCGACUACUGCAAGACAAAUAUAUGGCGUUGAAGGAGAAAUAUAUGAAAUUAAAGAAGGAGGUUCGUUUGGCUAUCGAGAGGAGGAGCAAAAGGAAGGAGGGAUACACCACGGCUUCGGAAACCGAAAGGUCAACGUCAACGAGAACGAGAACCGACAGAACCGAGUCAUCGGAACAAAAUACUCCACUACGAAACACGCACUCGAGCUCGGCGACGACGAACACUAAAGCGCACGAGACUCAGACGACCAUGAACGAGCAGUCGGAAGAAUUACACGAUCCGAACGAACCGAACGUUCAGAAGGCGAACUCGGGGUUUCAGAAGAGCACAGCUACGUCGAACGCGAAGAACGUGAGAUUCCAACCUGAUGACACGAGCAUCGCCAGCGAGACGAACGCGAACACCACCACCACGAAGAAGAACAUCAGCAAGAAAGUAACCAGCACCGCGAAACCCACCGCUACCACCGGAAACAACAAUAAUAACAAUAAUAAUAACCUCGAGAACCCGGUCGAGAACAUUAGGAAACAAUUGGAAAAGCUCGAGGAUCUCGGUGAUCAAUUGCCAAGCAACGAAACGGCCUAUACAUUGCGAUAUCCUUUCCAAGACAAAGCGCCGGCGAAUGCCUCUUCGGAGCUGGAGUUCUUUCGGCACCGAAUUCACGUCGAAAGGGAUUCAGUGAAGAGGGCACGGGAGGCUCUUCGGCACCAGGAGAACGUAUUCCAAGGACGGCAGAGGGCUUGGAAGCAACGUAGCGUCCGAGCAACCCUCGAGCAAUUAGUUCAGGAGGAACGCGAGCUCUCGGACAUGGAAGUGAACUUGCAUCGAACUAAGAGCCUUCUGGGUGAGAAAGUGAUUCAAUUAAGGCACUUGGAGCAAUCUCUGGAGAGAGUGGUUAAUGCUAAAACCAACGAAAAUGACGCGACUUCGACGAAAAACGAAGAACUGACGUUGAGCGAUAUGUCUAGCGUGAGCAGUGGUAUCAGUUCAACCGACUUGGCAACGGAUACGUUUAUAGACAAACCGGAUCACUACCAGGAGUCGACGGAAAUCAUCGCAAGCCUGGAAAACCUAAACUCGGAAAUACGUGAGAUCUGGGGCGUGCUGAAUAAACGCCAGGAUACUAAUAUACCACCGCCGCCGACUUUGAUGUAUUCUUAUUUGCGAUGGCUACGUUUCCACCACCUUACAGCCGAAUCGAACAAUAUACAAGGAACAUUCGGUACGCCGAAUAUUCAGUCAAACAUCUUGUCUCAGUUAACUGUAACGCAACCACCGACACCCAACACGCAAAACAUCAUCGCCCAAUAUGGUCCUAAUAGCGGUUUCACUACCAGCGUUUGUACCGUUGAGAAGAACUCUUCGAACCUGAUGGAGAGAACGUGGAAUCUACGGGAUUGGCUGCGACAAACUUGCGUCGAGAGCACAGAUCAGCCCAGGUCGAACGACACUCUAAAAAACAGCCCACAGUCCAUCGAAAAGUUUGGUUCCAAACGACAUACGCUAGGGGAUUCGAGUACCCGUUUCGUUGAUGUAGAUUCUAUGUACUUACACGUGUUUCUAAACCAAUUCAAGAAAACGUGUUUUCGUUAAUCGUUAGAAAUCGUUUGGAAGCGAGAGUUUCGAUCGAUAUUCGUCGUUAACACGUUUUGGAUCGUGUACCCAUCUUGGUCAAGCCUAUUAUGCUGAUUCGAGAACCUCCUUUUUGCUUGUUCCUAUCGAGUUCAGUUCGUUUCAUCGCUGAAUCUACCACAAAGACUGCAAUGAAGCGCGGACGUUCACCGAAUGCACGCAGGGUCGUCGUCUCGAGCCUCUAACAUCAAACGAAAUGGAUACGAGCUUCGAGACGAGACUACUGACAUGCACGUGAUCGCGUUACAUUUCCAAUACGCUCGGUCGCAUCGGCGUUCCUUAAAAUUUUAUCCGGAACAGCAGCCUAUAGGACGAUUGGAUGACCAUGUAAAAACGGAAGACUUUCAUAAAGGGAAGCGAAUCAUCGCGCCGUUCAGCGUGCAAAGCUCGUGAGUCGUUGAGGGAACGAGCCAAAUGCGUGAAUUUGCGCGAAGCCCAAAGAUCAGUACAGGCGCGACGGAGUUCUGUUGUAAAUAAGAAUUUCUCGAUGGCCGUAUCGCUCGAUACGACCCGCUGGUUCCUUUUUCCCCCGAACAGUCUGUUGAACCUUUAUAUAUUUUCGAGAUCGAUUUUUCCGUAAAUGUAACGAGAAUGUAUAAUAUGCGUACCUCCUAUAUCAUAUACGUUUACUAUAAUAUACAUGUAUCGGAUAUUUCGAAUGAUUUCAGGUAACGUUCAUCGCGUUUGAGACGGAUAUGCGAUCAAACCGAUGCGUGAUCUUCGUCGUACGAGAAGUGUCGAUUCGGGUUUCCUUUUAUCAGAUCGUAUGUGAUAUCUGAAUCAAAAUUGUCAACGGAAAGACUUAGCUUUUGUAUCGAGUUACUUAAUUAUCGUGUAUGUUGUAAGUCGCAUACCAUAGUAGACAGGGAUUCGUAGACGACUCGAGUUAGUUUAUCGACAACUUCUUCGAGCUUCCAACUUGGAGCGCGUACGAAGUUCUCUGCUGCGUUUACCAUGAUGUCUAUCAAACGCCAAAGUUUCAUAAUUAUCGACUUUCUAAACUGACUCACGCGUAAGUACGGUAUGUACCGUAAGGUUUCUGGAUCGAUCGAUAAUCAGAAGCCACUAAUUAACGCUAUCGUAUCGAUUUAUUAAUUUUAGAGACGUUCGAUCGACAUUUAACCUUCGACUGCAUAUGGAUCGCAAUAAUUUUGAUCUCAUUAGAUGUAUAGCGUAGAACGACUAAAGUUUCUACACUGUGGAAUGUGACAGCAUACACCGAAAUGUCUGACACGUAACUAUACCGUAGAAAACUUUCCGGUAAUUUCGCAAGGAACCUUGUUUCAAAGUAGUUAUUGCUCGAAUGGUUCCUUCUUUCUUGUUAUAAUCUUAUCAUUGAUAUUUCAUUCGAUAUUCUUUUACUUAGCAAUCGGCCCUGAUAUUAAUCGAUGUUCGUGUAUCGUAAGAACAGCGAUCGAACAAACUAUAUAGUUGAUUUUGUAUCGAUUAAAGUUAAUGCCAAUAGGACAUUGAGUCGAUAUUUGGAAUCGUAGGGUCACUUUAAGAUGUUUGACACUUUCGUCUGACACGAAGAUUUCAAAGAGUAGAGAUCAUUCAUUAGCACCGUCCUUAUAAAUCAUACAAGUAUCUUCCCUCGGUGAAAAAUAUGUAUCAUCAUCGUUUAUUGCUUCGGAAGUUGAUAAAUCGUUAAUAUAUUACGUCCGAUGGUUCUACGUUUAUUUAAUCGGUCAAAAGGUGCUUCGUCUACAGUGCAAUAAUUUGCGAGUAGUUGAUUUUAUAACUCGAUUGCGUAGUUUUGUUACGUAACUGAAUAUUAUGUCUUUCGCACAAUGCGUUUUAUACAGAUAUUAUCGAUGAAUAUUUCGUUAAUCGUCGCUAAAAAUCGGUAAGCGGACGAUAAGCGUCCUCGUAACGCGGUCGGGAUAAUUUUUCCAUGAAAACGCUUCGAUUCCAUAUUCCAUGAUCAUAAGCAUUUUCUUAUGUAAUAUACAAGAGACAAAUGUUGUUUGUAAAGAUUAAACGACUUCAAGCAAUAUAAUUUUAUUUGGAUAAUCGAAUGCGGCCGCAGCCAUUCCGGAGAUGGCUCGAAAUAUAAAGGGUAUUGCCAAACUUAAUUAACCGGUGUUUAUUUCAAAAUAAAUGGCGCAUAUUUGAAGAAAAGAAGAUAGUUCUGACUUCGCUGCUUUCUUCUUUUCGUUCAUCGGUACGCCAGGGAUAUUACUAUAUGCAAUGUUCAGUAAAUUAAUUUUGGGAUACCUUGUAUAUUCUGUAUUAUAGUAUAUAUUUGUAUGGACGCAAAUAUAUAUGCUAUGCAAACCAA